UACGUAGGGGGCUAGCGUUGUCCGGAAUCAUUGGGCGUAAAGAGCGCGUAGGCGGCUGGAUUAGUCCGGUGUGAAAUCCCCAGGCUUAACCUGUGAAUGCCGCUGGAAACUGUCUGGCUAGAGUCCGGAAGGGGCGAGUGGAAUUCCUGGUGUAGCGGUGAAAUGCGCAGAUAUCAGGAGGAACACCAAUGGCGAAGGCAGCUCGCUGGGACGGUACUGACGCUGAGGCGCGAAAGCGUGGGGAGCAAACAGG
rnacentral:rRNA from 1 species